UAAACCAUUUAAAAAAACUAUCAUUUCGCGUUAUCAUUAGAAAACAUCGUAACUUUUAUACUAUAUAAGCUGGUAACAUCCCUCAUUUGUUACAGUGGCCUAAAAUAAAAAAUAAUUACAAUGCAGAACCAAUAUGUGUUCAACAACGAAACCAAGGAAUUACACACAGGCGGAGUUCCCUUCACCUGUCCACCAGGCGGAAUGGGAAAAGCCAUCUUCGAGAAUAUGAAAAAACAUGCUGCAGCCGGCCUCGUAUCCCAGAUUGAAGGUGAAACAGGAUUAGAAGAAUCCUUCGAAACGUCCUUAAACAAAUGCAUAAAACUCGCAUUGUACAUGAGAGAACAAAACAUUAAACCUGGCGAUAAAAUCUCAAUGUGUUCUGAAAACACACUAAACAGUUCAGCGGUGCUUUUUGCUUCACUCUUCACUGGGGCCAUUCUUGCUGCAACUGAUCCAAGAUUUUCAGCUGAGUAUACCAAAGACCUGUUGGAUUUGGUAGAACCUAAACUGAUCUUUGUUUGUGAAGAAUCCAUUGAUCGGAUUGUGAAUGCGAUCAAGAACUGCACCUAUAAAACAAAGAUAGUGCCAUUAUACAAACAUGAUUCAAUGGAAAAUGCACCAAAUAUUUGCAGCAAGUACACCACAGAAGAAAUAGAAUCUUUUGAACCUAUUUACGUGAAAGAUUCGAGUACAAUUGCUUCUAUUCUAUUCAGUAGUGGAACAACAGGGUUACCAAAAGCGUCUUGUUUGAGUCAUAAUGCAUUGUUGACUGAUUUUGGGCUAAAUUAUAGCACAUUUACCAAAUUUGACUUGCCACGUGUAAGAAUUCUUGGCUUUGCAUCACUUUUUUGGAUUUCAGGCUUCAAUUAUAUUGUUACCUGCUUUUACUUUGGUUUCACCAAAGUAAUGUUUCGAAAAUUCAAUGCUGAAACAGUUUGGAACACUCUGGAUAAAUAUGAAAUUAAUUUUGUUUUCUUAUCACAUAUUCAUGGGCCUUGUUCUCAAUACUUGGAACAUUCAUUACCACAUCUUAAGGCAGUGGUGAUACUUUCUGGAACAUUACCAACAGUGUAUCAUAAUACUCUAAAAGAGAAACUAAAAAACGUUCCGAUAAUUACUGGUUACGGAAUGACUGAAAUUGGCGUCGUUGCUGUAAAUAAUGGAAGUUAUGAUCCUCCAAAUCUAUAUACACCUCGCCCUAAAGGUAGUAUCAUCAGAAUUGUUGAUCCUGGUAAUGAAACUCCAUUAGAUCUGAACCAGAUUGGUGAGAUUCGAAUUAAAGGAGUUGGCCAAUUAAAUGGAUACUACAAGGAGGACUCCAAAGAUUGUUGGGAUGCGCAAGGAUUCUUCAAAACCGGUGAUCUGGGUUAUUUGAAUGACGACUAUCGAUUGCAUGUCGUUGAUCGAAUCAAGGAAUUGAUUAAAUAUGAUAACUAUAGAAUAGCUCCGGCGAGUAUUGAGAAGAUUUUAAAGCAACACCCGGCUGUCUUGCUUGCUAUUGUUGUUGGCUUAUGCCCGGUAGAAGAACGCCAUGAACAAGUGUUAGGGAUCGUUGUACUUAAAAAGGGCUGUUGUGUGUCUGCAGAUGAAUUGCUCAGAUUUGCCAAUGAGCAAUUGGAUGAACUGCAUCAGAUUCGUGCGGGCAUCAAGUUCAUCGCAGAGAAUGAAAUUCCUUAUACAGUCACCGGGAAGAUUCAUAGGAUUAAAUUGAGGCAGAUGUAUGAGUAUUUAAUUUUGUGACCGAAUGCACCAAAUAGUUUACUGUUAACCUAGAAAUAAAAAAAAUUUAAAUCUGAACAUUUCAUUAGAUUCAUUAGUUUUAAAUGCAAAGAAAAACAGUAAGUAAUGCUGCAAUACAAAGAUAAAAAUAUAAAAAAUAAACGCAAUCACUUACUUGAAGUCAUACAAUAAAAAUACCUUAGCAUUGUAAAGUAAAGUAAACUAAAACACUUCAUGAUUUAUAAAAAACUACUGAACAGUAAUAAAAACAACGUAAAAAGUAAUAGUGAGCUUUAAAUAUAUCGAAAAAGUUAAACAACAAACUAACUGUAACAUGUCUGAAUAACCUCAAGAUGAAAAGAAAGCAUGUGAAUCAUGAUUAACUUGUCUUCGAAACAGUAGCAAGUCUCAUGAAUAUAUUAUACGCUAAAAAUAUGAAUGCGAAAAAAACCAAGAGACUUCUUAGCUGCAAGCACACGUGGAAUCGCGGAGGCUUUCACACUGGAACUCACUGUAUCCUUACAAAAAUUACUACACGUCAGGGCAGCCAACACAUCUGAUGGCUGUUUAUAAAAAUGCAAUUCAUAAAAAAAUUUGCGCGACAGGGAAGUAUCCUCCAUCAACAACUUCACUGAAAAAUUAACCCGCUGUGUUGCUAUAUCAUUCCCCACAACAGCAAUCGUCAAUUGAAACAACUUCCCCUUAAAUAAGGCACACUGAUGGCAAUCUUAUCGAAUACAGCAUCAUGUGAAGCAAAUAAUUUCUGAUUGCAGUGUUGUUCUAAGAAGUGUUCGACAGUAUAGUCUUUGUCAAUGAUGCCAUUGCAGAAUGUGCAAGUGAAUGUUGGUGAACAGUUUUUGGAAUGGGCAGUUGCUUCAUCAAAUGAGCCAAUAAAGUGGCACUCAUAUGGACUUGUACAUGGAUACUCCAAAAAUUCAAGCUGCUUUACCAGAGAAUCAUUUGCAACCAAGACUUUCGCUGGUGGAUAUGUUACAAAACACACAAAGCAUAAAUGUCUUCCCCUGCCUGGUGUAAACGCAACUGUACCCAGGUAUGAUUUACACUUGUGGCACAAUAUUUUUCUCUGUGGCAUAUCUAGUUGAUUUAUCCGCAUUAGUUUCUUCGCUAACCAGUGCAUUCUAAUAAAUUAUUAUAAAGAUUGUAAUUAGAAAAUGUCUUGCAACCAAAAACAAUUGAGAACCAACCUGCUUAAUUUUUGUUGGGUGGAGUUGUCCAUAUUAUUGGGAUGACAAUCCAUUGUUUAUGUUUAAUAGUUGAAUUAAUGUCUUACAACAAUUGUGAAUGCACUUAACUGACGCACGUUACAAGAUAUAAAAGUGUGGCGCGAGUUGGGUAAAAACGGUUAUAACCAGUUAAAACGGUUAGGGUAGAUGUGCCCAAGGUUUUCAAGUUAACAAACCUUAAAAAUAGUUUAUAUUAAUAAAAUGGUGUUGAAAUAUA